rnacentral:tRNA from 1 species
CCUGGUGGCUUAGAUGGUAAAGUGUUUGCCUACAAUGUGAGAGACCCAGGUUCAAUCCCUGGGUCAGGA